CAAAAGCUCAAAUUUGAAAUCCCCCGGGAAUUGUAAUUUGAAGAGAUUUGGGUCCGGCCGNCAGGGGUUAAGUCCACUGGAAAGUGGCGCCNCAGAGGGUGNCAGCCCCGUGAACCCCCUCAANGCCUUCAUCCCAGNUCUCCAAGAGUCGAGUUGUUUGGGAAUGCAGCUCUAAGUGGGUGGUAAAUUCCNUCUAAAGCUAAAUACCGGCGAGAGACCGAUAGCGANCAAGUNCAGUGAUGGAAAGAUGAAAAGCACUUUGAAAAGAGAGUGAAAAAGUACGUGAAAUUGUUGAAAGGGAAGGGCUUGCAAGCAGACACUUAACUGGGCCAGCNUCGGGNCGGCGGGGANCAAAACCACCGGGGAAUGUACCNUUCGAGGAUUAUNACCCAGGCCCCUUACUCCCAUACCACCCCGAGGCCUG
rnacentral:rRNA from 1 species